rnacentral:rRNA from 1 species
GUCUUGGCUGUAAACGGUGCGUAUUUGCUGUAAACGGAAUCGACCCCGUUUGUGGCGUAGCUAACGCGAUAAAUACGCCGCCUGGGAAGUACGGUAGCAAGAUUAAAACUCAAAGAAAUUGACGGGGGCCUGCACAAGCGGUGGAGUAUGUGGCUUAAUUCGAUGCAACGCGAAGAACCUUACCUGGCCUUGACAUGCAUGUGGUAGAACCAUGAAAGUGGGACGAUCCCGCAAGGGAAGCAUGCACAGGUGCUGCAUGGCUGUCGU